UGAACGCUGGCGGCGUGCUUAACACAUGCAAGUCGUACGAGAAAUCUUUUGUUCGCAGAAGAGAGUAAAGUGGCGCACGGGUGAGUAACGCGUGGAUAAUCUGCCUCUGAAUCGGGGAUAACGUUACGAAAGUGACGCUAAUACCGGAUAAUAUCUAGAAUGCUUCGGUUUUUUAGAUCAAAGGGGGCCAAUACAUGUAAGCUUCUGUUUAGAGAUGAGUCCGCGUGCCAUUAGCUUGUUGGUAGGGUAAUGGCCUACCAAGGCUGCGAUGGCUAGCUGGUCUGAGAGGAUGAUCAGCCACACUGGAACUGAGACACGGUCCAGACUCCUACGGGAGGCAGCAGUGAGGAAUCUUGCGCAAUGGGGGAAACCCUGACGCAGCAACGCCGCGUGAGUGAAGAAGGCUUUCGGGUCGUAAAGCUCUGUCAAGUGGGAAGAAUCUGUCCUAUGUUAAUACCAUGGGGCACUGACGGUACCAUUGAAGGAAGCACCGGCUAACUCC
rnacentral:rRNA from 1 species